UUACGACCACAUCAGUUGAAACACCACUUCCCGUACGACCAACGAAGUUAAGCAACGUCAAGCCUGGUCAGUACUUAGAUAGGUGACCGCAUGUGAAUGCCAGGUGC